CGCGUUAUCCAAAAGCUGCGGAACUGGGCGUCUGGGGUGCGUGUGCUGUUCCGAUCCGGGCCGGGAAGGAUUUGGGUUCUGUACGCCCUUGAAUCCUAUCCCCCUUAACAUCUCCUUAGUUCAGUGGAUAAUCCAGGAUCCCUGAAUUUGUGACUCCAGUAGUCAGACUCAAGCAAGACCUGCAGGCGAAGCUACAGCUGCGCUACCAGGAGAUCGCCAAGCGGUGAGCAGGCCGUGCUUGCUGCCUUCAUCCUGACAUUCUUCCACCAAACCCAAGGCUGGCCAUAGUGGUACAGUCUUUAAUCCCAGCACUCGGGAAACAGGCAGGCUGAGUUCUGAGUUCAAGGCCUGCCUGAUCUACAUGAUGGGUUCCAGGUUAACCCCUGUCUAAUAAACAAACGUGAAAAAACAACCCUAAAUUUGCUGUUCUCUUGAACUUUCCUUGGAGAAUUGAGCAGAGAUCUUUCUUGUCAGGCUGUGAAAGCAAAAAUUUAACUUUUAACUUCAUUGGGUUGUCUUGGAAUAGUUAGGAGAUAGGUUGUAUUAUUUGUUGGUCUCUUGGGUAGCUUUGCAGUCUUCAUUGUGACCACCCACAUGAAAUGCUAUGUUCUCAAGCUACUGAAGGGGGAGGAUGAGGCCCAUGUAGGCCAAGUCAUUGCUUAAAGUCAGUUUUGAUCACAUUUAUAUACUGAUGAGUCUUUGCCUUGUCCUCAGGCUUUUGGAUGCCAAUACAAACGAGUGUUCUUGCUUUGUGGGGUUG